CUCUCCUCUUCCAAUACUCCUCAUCAGUCUCCUUAUGAGCCGAUUUUGACGCCAAGGCCAAUGUGAGAAAUGGGACUAAAAACAACAAGGUUGUGGUAUUGACAGGUAAAUGUCUGGCCUUAAGGUUCGACCAGACCCAGAAAAACCGAACCGAACCAAACCGAAUUAUUCUAGAGAUGCACCAUGGUUCGGCCGGUCUGCGUAGAGUAGAUAAUAAAUGGGUGCUUUUAUAGGCGGAGGGAUUGCACCCUAUGAAUAGAGGGAGAAGGGGAGAGAAUUAAGGAGGGCCAGAGGCAUAACUUAUAGACACACAAAUACAUGUACAUGAAGAGAAGACUUGGCCCAUGGACAUGAGUGAAUCUAGGGAGAAAAUCCAGUUGACAAAGGAGCAUGCGCAAUAACAGGACACACAAAAAUUUUUGAGAAAUUUGUGGACGUGGUAUCUAAAAUACACCUAGCUAAUAAUGCUGCCCUAUCCCUUUUUUGGGGGGAAAAAAAAUUCCCCUUCUUGCUACCAGAAAUGAGAUCAUGCUAGACUGACUUUCCUUCUCUGAUGUAAAAACUUCAGAACAUUUAAAAAAAAAAACUUGAAUUGA